AAAGUCGUAACAAGGUUUCCGUAGGUGAACCUGCGGAAGGAUCAUUAUGAAUUUGAACUUGUGUGGCUGGCUGUUCGACCUUGUGUUGAACGCCCCUCACAAUUCUUUUUCUGUGAACUGUUCUCGGACUCUCUUUUUUUUUAAUUAAAAAAAAGAGUCUGGGUUACUUUUUUUGUUUUCUUGUAUUAUUCCACUUUAUAUUUCGAGUAAUUCUUGCAAAAGAAUGAAACAAAUACAAAAACCAAGACAACUUUCAGCAAUGGAUCUCUUGGCUCUU
rnacentral:misc_RNA from 1 species